rnacentral:rRNA from 1 species
GACGAACGCUGGCGGCGUGCUUAACACAUGCAAGUCGAACGGUGAAGCUCCAGCUUGCUGGAGUGGAUCAGUGGCGAACGGGUGAGUAACACGUGAGCAACCUGCCCCUGACUCUGGAAUAAGCGCUGGAAACGGCGUCUAAUACUGGAUACGAGAAGGGUCCGCAUGGGCACUUUCUGGAAAGUUUUUCGGUUGGGGAUGGGCUCGCGGCCUAUCAGCUUGUUGGUGAGGUAAUGGCUCACCAAGGCGACGACGGGUAGCCGGCCUGAGAGGCGACCGGCCACACUGGGACUGAGACACGGCCCAGACUCCUACGGGAGGCAGCAGUGGGGAAUAUUGCACAAUGGGCGAAAGCCUGAUGCAGCGACGCCGCGUGAGGGAUGACGGCCUUCGGGUUGUAAACCUCUUUCAGCAGGGAAGAAGCGAAAGUGACGGUACCUGCAGAAGAAGCACCGGCUAACUACGUG